rnacentral:rRNA from 1 species
GACGAACGCUGGCGGCGUGCUUAACACAUGCAAGUCGAACGGAAAGGCCCUGCUUUUGUGGGGUGCUCGAGUGGCGAACGGGUGAGUAACACGUGAGUAACCUGCCCUUGACUUUGGGAUAACUUCAGGAAACUGGGGCUAAUACCGGAUAGGAGCUCCUGCUGCAUGGUGGGGGUUGGAAAGUUUCGGCGGUUGGGGAUGGACUCGCGGCUUAUCAGCUUGUUGGUGGGGUAGUGGCUUACAAAGGCUUUGACGGGUAGCCGGCCUGAGAGGGUGACCGGCCACAUUGGGACGGAGAUACGGCCCAGACUCCUACGGGAGGCAGCAGUGGGGAAUAUUGCACAAUGGGCGGAAGCCUGAUGCAGCAACGCCGCGUGCGGGAUGACGGCCUUCGGGUUGUAAACCGCUUUCGCCUGUGACGAAGCGUGAGUGACGGUAAUGGGUAAAGAAGCACCGGCUAACUACGUG